GCAUCACAUCACGCGACAGUCUUCACUCUAGCUCGGAGCGCAUCUAUGGUGCUUUAGACGACCAUUCUUCGUUUCACUACCAAAGACAUGUCGGAAUGCAUUUAGGACCAGCAUCUAUAGCUGCUGGCAUUUUUUUCAAAUAGACUGAGCUACAUUGAAAAGGCAGACCAUUAUAUAACUUGUGAAGAUUAAAUAGUCAGUUAUUUUUGUCAUUUCUUCUAGCUUACUUACAAGGUGAAUUAAUGAGCAUUCUCUCCAAAUGAAGACAUCACAGCCUCAUUCCUAACACAGAAAGUUAUUUAUUUCAAAUACAGUUUCGGUGGGUAAAUAAGGUGGCGCAUUCCUUCUACAGAGGACACACCUAGGAGAGCAAGAUACGUCCCAGUGAAACACAGCUUCGUCACCAACUUCAGUCAACUCUUUGGCAACAUCACAUCAGCCCAUCAACUUAACAGAUUUCGAGAAGUUUUGGCAGAAAAUGAUGUACUGCCAUGGGAAAUAGUCUACAUCUUCAAGCAAGUUCUGAAAGACUUCCUAAGCAGCUCUGACAGAGGGAGUGAGCAAGAGGACCUGGAGGACUCAGGGAGCAUGGACUGCUCUGCUCCUUCUGUGAUCCAAGGUGACAGCUCCAAGAGGGCAGACAAAGAUGAAAUACCCACCAUUUCCAGUUACGUAGACAAAAACACAAAGGACAGGUUCCCAGUGUUCUCACACAGAAUAUGGAACCUACCAUAUUAUCACCCAUCUAGUUAAGUUACUUACAACUAGAGGGGUUUUUAUGAACACCUUAGAACUCCUAAUAUUAAGAAUAAGAAAAAGUGAUGUGACUUCAAGUUUUUCUUUGUUACAAGGUCAGUAUCCUGUGGAUGUAGCCUAUGUUUUAAAUAGUGUUCUUUUUUUAACCACUCUAAACAUGCUAUGUUUUCAUUGAAUAGUAUGCUUUUAACUAAAAUGUUUCCUAAGUAUUUUGAAAAAAUGUUUGCAGUAUUUUCUUAUACCUCAAACCCACCUCACAGGAACUAAAGCAACUUUAGUAUGAAGUCUGACAAAUUCUGUACAAAACUUAGAUAUUAACCUUGACUUUUAUUCUACAAUGAAGCUACAUAUAGAAUUAAAUAAAUUAUUAAUACGAA
rnacentral:lncRNA from 1 species